GACGAACGCUGGCGGCGUGCCUAAUACAUGCAAGUUGAGCGAUGAAGAUUGGUGCUUGCACCAAUUUGCAGAGCAGCGAACGGGUGAGUAACGCGUGGGGAAUCUGCCUUUGAGCGGGGGACAACAUUUGGAAACGAAUGCUAAUACCGCAUAACAACUUUAAACAUAAGUUUUAAGUUUGAAAGAUGCAAUUGCAUCACUCAAAGAUGAUCCCGCGUUGUAUUAGCUAGUUGGUGAGGUAAAGGCUCACCAAGGCGAUGAUACAUAGCCGACCUGAGAGGGUGAUCGGCCACAUUGGGACUGAGACACGGCCCAAACUCCUACGGGAGGCAGCAGUAGGGAAUCUUCGGCAAUGGACGAAGGUCUGACCGAGCAACGCCGCGUGAGUGAAGAAGGUUGUCGGAUCGUAAAACUCUGUUGGUAGAGAAGAACGUUGGUGAGAGUGGAAAGCUCAUCAAGUGACGGUAACUACCCAGAAAGGGACGGCUAACUACGUG
rnacentral:rRNA from 1 species